CCUACGGGUGGCUGCAGUGAGGAAUAUUGGUCAAUGGUCGCGAGACUGAACCAGCCAAGCCGCGUGAGGGAGGAAGGUACAGAGUAUCGUAAACCUCUUUUGCCAGGGAACAAAGACUGGGACGCGUCCCCCGAUGAGUGUACCUGAAGAAAAAGGAUCGGCAAACUCCGUGCCCGCAGCCGCGGUAAUAGGGAGGAUGCGAGGUUUUUCCGGAUUUAUUGGGUUUAAAGGGUGGGCAGGCGGUUUGUUAAGUCAGGGGUAAAAGCCCGGGGCCAAACCCCCGCCCGCCGUUGAAACUGGCAGUCUCGAGUGGGAGAGAAGUAUGCGGAAUGCGCGGUGUAGCGGUGAAAUGCAUAGAUAUCGCGCAGAACUCCGAUUGCGAAGGCAGCAUGCCGGCUCCACACUGACGCUGAGGCACGAAAGCGUGGGUAUCGAACAGGAUUAGAUACCCGAGUAGUC
rnacentral:rRNA from 1 species